CGGCCUGACCCUUUUGUGUGGCGCCCGACACCUAGGCGCCACACUGUACUGUGUGACGCCUAGAGGUUCGGCGCCACACCCCCGACCACGUGGCAGGGAGGGGCCCACCCCCAGGCAGUGUGACGCCUAAGCCUCAGGCGUCACACAUUGUAAUGUGUGGCGCCUAACGCUUAUGCGCCACACAUUGACUUAUACAGCCACGAGCCAGCCCCCCUCCCCACCCCCUCCCUCAUUC
rnacentral:lncRNA from 1 species